CAAGCGUAACACUUUUAUUACCUAUUGGGCACAUUUAACAGAGGGGGAAAAAUAUAAAAGUAUAAAACUGCAGUAUGUCUGAGUUAUGAAUUUUCUAUGCUGGCUAGAAUUCCCCACCUGUUAAAUGGAUUUAGCUGCAAGCUGUUUGACGAUGCACCUAAUCGGUUUGUUUUGUCCCUGAUAGUGGGGUUGCCCAGACACUCAAGAAAGGAGAAGUUUUCCUGUAUGAGAUUGGAGGAAAUAUUGGGGAACGUUGCCUUGAUGACGAUACAUACAUGAAGGACUUGUACCAUCUGAACCCAAAUGCUGAAUGGGUCAUAAAAUCAAAGCCAGUGUAGAUGACUACCCCGAGGCCAUGUCAUCAUUCUUGCUGGAUCAAGAGUGUAAAUAAAAGCAACAGGUUUCUUAACUAUUCAGCCGUACCCAAUUAUUACAAAGUGACACCCUCAAGCCUUAAAAUUAUAGAUUUUUUUUGUGGCUUCCACAGUUGUUAAUUAUUAUUAUUAUUUUAGAAAAUGAGUAUUUUUGGAGCAUAAUUAAAUGACUUUUUCUAAACAA
rnacentral:lncRNA from 1 species